UGGCGUAGUGGUUAACGCGCCCCAACUAGAGAUCGGGGAGUCGUGAGUUCGAUUCUCAU
rnacentral:tRNA from 1 species